UACAGAGGUGCCAAGCGUUAGGCGGAAUCACUGGGCUUAAAGCGCGUGUAGGCGGGUCGUUAAGUGUCUUGUGAAAUCCCACGGCUCAACCGUGGAACUGCUGGGCAUACUGACGAUCUUGAGGCACUCAGGGGCCGUCGGAACAAAGUGGUGGAGCGGUGAAAUGCGUAAGAUAUCAUUUGGAACGCCAACGGCGAAAAGCAGACGGCUGGGGGUGUCCUGACGCUGAGACGCGAAAGCCAGGGGAGCGAACGGG
rnacentral:rRNA from 1 species